UGCAUGGUGGAAAAGGGUAAGCUGGCACAGAGACAAUUCAUCAAGCCCCAAAGAAUAGGAUGGGUAUAUGCCCAUUCUGUAUCUUUUCCUUACAGGUGAACAUAAAAACCUGAUGGUACAAUAGGUGAUGUGAUGAUGCUAUUGAAAUCUAAAACUGCCCCUUAGGAGGUUUUAAAAAUUAAAAAAAAGUUUUGAAAAGAGAGUUAAAAGUUUACUUGUAUAAUGUAAUUUGAUUUAUAUCCUAUGUUACAGUUUGGAUGUGUCUUAAAAGAAGGCAAAGAUGCUAAGUUCAGAUUCUCAAGUUUGUAACUCUGGCACUUGUAAUUCUUACAUUAAGGAAAACUGUCAUUUGAAUUCAGAGGUGUUCUAGGCAGUAACUCAGACUGCAGAAAAAAAAAAAAUGGCCCUUUUUAAAUAGGCCACCCUGAGGCAAUGGACUGUGACUAGUGCCCCUAGAUUUCAGAGUUCUUCAAAUACAAUUGAAAACUAAAGUGUAAAUGUUAAAGCAGAGGUUACUGUUAGGCUAAAAAAAAAUUAAAAUUAGCCAGGAA